GACGAACGCCGGCGGCGUGCCUAACACAUGCAAGUCGAACGAAGCAUAGCAAUAUGCUUAGUGGCGGACGGGUGAGUAACGCGUGAACAAUCUGCCCUGUACAAAGGAUAGCCUCGGGAAACCGGGAUUAAAACCGUAUGACACUUUAGUAUCGCAUGAUAAGAAAGUCAAAUCGAUUAGAGGUAUGGGAUGAGUUCGCGUCUGAUUAGCUAGUUGGUGGGGUAACGCUCACCAAGGCCACGAUGCAUAGCCGACCUGAGAGGGUGAUCGGCCAC
rnacentral:rRNA from 1 species